rnacentral:rRNA from 1 species
UACGUAGGGACCAAGCGUUGUUCGGAUUUACUGGGCGUAAAGGGCGCGUAGGCGGCAAUUCAAGUCAGCUGUGAAAUCUCCGAGCUUAACUCGGAACGGUCAGCUGAUACUGUUUUGCUAGAGUGCAGAAAGGGCAACCGGAAUUCUUGGUGUAGCGGUGAAAUGCGCAGAUAUCAAGAGGAACACCUGAGGCGAAGGCGGGUUGCUAGGCUGACACUGACGCUGAGGCGCGAAAGCUAGGGUAGCAAACGGG